CCUACGGGAGGCUGCAGUAGGGAAUUUUCGGCAAUGGGGGGAACCCUGACCGAGCAACGCCGCGUGAACGAAGAAGUUAUUCGUAAUGUAAAGUUCUUUUAACAGGGAAGAAAGAGAAAUUUGACGGUACCUGAAGAAUAAGCUCCGGCUAACUACGUGCCAGCAGCCGCGGUAAUACGUAGGGAGCGAGCGUUAUCCGGAAUUAUUGGGCGAAAAGGGUGCGUAGAUGGCAUAGUAAGUCUUUUGUAAAAAUGCUGGGCUCAACCCAGUAGGGCAAAAGAUACUGCAAAGCUAGAGUAUGACAGAGGCAAGUGGAACUACAGGUGUAGCGGUAAAAUGCGUAAAGAUAAGUAAGAACACCAGUGGCGAAGGCGGCUUGCUGGGUCGAUACUGACAUUGAGGCACGAAAGCGUGGGGAGUAAACAGGAUUAGAUACCCCAGUAGUC
rnacentral:rRNA from 1 species